CCCGAACAUAGAGUUCAUCGCUGUUACUAUAAAGUUUAACCCAAAAUUUUUGGGAUAUGAGAAAGCAUCAGCAAUGUCAUUGAGCAAUGGACUACCCAGGUCUAUUGCCCGAUCAUUCUUCAGAGAUGUAGGCCUACAAAGAUGGAUGAUUGUGGGGCGGGUCUAAGACGGAUGACGACAUGGGUUUGGGAAAGGAAAGAGGAGGCAGUGAGGUUGGGGGAGAUUUUGAGGCCGAUAUUGGUUAACAAAGAGGACGUCCAUGGAGUCUGGUUUGGGGGGGGGGGGGGGGGAGAUGAUAAAGAAACUCACCAUCCCUACUCUCGACUCAUAUUAAUUAUGCAGCCCAAAUGCUAAUUUAAACGAUAAGAUCUUUCUUCAACCAUUUACUAGGGAGCUGUGCUCUUUUUUAUAUUUUUGGUUACAGGAUGGUCUAAAAAGACUUGGGAAUUGUGCUCUGUCACAGUAGCUUUGAGCCAUUAUUAUUGAGUCAUUUCUCUUAGCCAUUAUUAUUGAAACUAAAUAUCUUAUUAUUGAGCCAUUUCUAUU